rnacentral:rRNA from 1 species
UACGUAGGGCGCAAGCGUUGUCCGGAAUUAUUGGGCGUAAAGAGCUCGUAGGCGGUUUGUCGCGUCUGUCGUGAAAGCUUGGGGCUUAACCCCAAGUCUGCGGUGGAUACGGGCAGACUAGAGGCAGGUAGGGGAGAACGGAAUUCCCGGUGUAGCGGUGAAAUGCGCAGAUAUCGGGAGGAACACCGGUGGCGGAGGCGGUUCUCUGGGCCUGUACUGACGCUGAGGAGCGAAAGCGUGGGGAGCGAACAGG